AGCUCCAAUAGCGUAUAUUAAAGUUGUUGCAGUUAAAAAGCUCGUAGUUGAACCUUGGGCCUGGCUGGCCGGUCCGCCUCACCGCGUGCACUGGUCCGGCCGGGCCUUUCCUUCUGGGGAUCCGCAUGCCCUUCACUGGGUGUGCCGGGGAACCAGGACUUUUACUUUGAAAAAAUUAGAGUGUUCAAAGCAGGCCUUUGCUCGAAUACAUUAGCAUGGAAUAAUAGAAUAGGACGUGCGUCCCUAUUUUGUUGGUUUCUAGGGACGCCGUAAUGAUUAAUAGGGAUAGUCGGGGGCAUCAGUAUUCAAUUGUCAGAGGUGAAAUUCUUGGAUUUAUUGAAGACUAACUACUGCGAAAGCAUUUGCCAAGGAUGUUUUCA
rnacentral:rRNA from 1 species